CCGAGCUUGCCGCGGUUGGCUGGCCGGUCCGAGUCGGGUGAAGCUAUUUUCAAGAUGUAUUUUUUUUCCACAAUACUUUUUAUUGUGGAAUUUUCCAAGUGGAUGAUAGAAUGUUUACUUUCAAAACAGUUUUAUUCAGUUCCUUAUGGGAUAUUGGUGAAAGUUUUUUCUGUGUGGUGCAAUGCUUAAGAAUUGUUGGUCCUUGUGUGAAAUGAUACAUUGAGUAAAAAGUAUUGUGAGAAUUUUCUUUAUGGCAAUACAAAGUACUACAUAUAGGUUGCUGUUCUGUGAUUUUGGAAUUGGAAUGUGUAGGCUUGAGCAAAAGGAGUCCACCCACUGUUGUUGGGAUGUGCAUGAACUACAUGGUUAGACUGAUUCAGACACUAGAGAUGACUGAAGAAUUGUGGUAGUGAUUGAGUGGCAGGCUGAUGAUGUCAUAGAAGUGCACUUUACUGUUAUUGUUGGAUGUCAUUUCAGGCUCCAAUUUCUUCUGAACACCAUGUGUUGUUCAUCAGAUUGAUGUACAGUUUUGUAUAUAGCAAAGUUCUGCUGACGGAGCGCCGGUCACAGGAGGUAUAGAAUCCUUCACAUUUUGGCUGGCAACCAGCUUUUGUUCAGCAAAGGGCAAGUUCAAGCAAUGGCUAUAGUUUAAAAACAUGAUUCAACUGACUUCGCCUGAAUGAUGGAUGAUUUGGACCACACACUUAUAGGGUGAAAAUGAUGACUUGGUGUAUACAGUAUUGUAAAAAACAAACCGACAUUGUCAGUGUAUGAUUUUGUUUUUCCGCUUAUAUGUUUAAGGUAAUCUAAGCUGUAAGUUGUAAAUCAACAGAGUGUGAUGCAUACAUUAUCCUGGUUUUGUUAUAAUUUCUGUGUCGUUAUAAAAAUGUGUUGAGAUAUGGGGGAAAAUUAAACAUUUUGUCAUAAUGCAUUUGUGGAUAUCCUUGUGAUAAGGACCAGCAUGGACAGGGAAAUAUUUCUGAGUUUUUUGUACAUGUACAUGUAGUUGUCUUUUUCACAUGUUGUUUCUCUGCUAGGAUGAAAUGUUACAGAUUUAUGUUGGGCUUUUAAAUUUGUCAUUUUGAUGUCUACAUGUACUCUUGCCGCCAGUGUACAUAAGCUAACACAAUUGGUCAAUUUCAUAUCCAUGCUGUACUCUUUGAUAUGCAGCAUACAUUUGUGUAACCUUUUGUAUAUACAUGUACAGCACAGUCAGAAAUAUGAUCUAUGGGACUUUUAGUUUAAACUUUCAACACAUUAUGAAGUAUUUAAGGCCUAAAGGUUGAUUCAUUCUCCUUUUCUUACUGUAUUUAUGAUCGCUGUUCCACUUCCUUGUGAACUGGUCCAGAUGUGACUUUCCUUUACUCCUGAUUAUUUUUUUUGUCAAGCAUGUUCAAAUAAUGGUAAAAUUUCAUGUUUAAUGAAAAUGUUUGGCUGUCCUAUCCUGCAGUCAUAGCCUGGUGGGGUUACACUUUGGAGAAUACUGUGGGUGUAAUCAAAGAAGAAUUAUAGGGCAGAACAUUAGUAUUUUUCUCCAACACUCUGACCCAUAUAGACCUGUCAUGGAUGACGUCACAGUUUUGUUUAUCUGCCAUCUUGGAUUACAUACAUGAGCACGUCUUCACCGUUACUUGUCAGCUGUGUAUAAAACUCCACACGCGCGGGAAGAUUUGAACUGAAGUGAGUUUGUACUGUAGUUUGUUGAAAAUGGUCAACUUUUGUGCUGUACUUUGACUGUGGAAACGGGGGGGGAACAUGAUAAGAAAUCUUUUUAUCGUUUACCUGCUGUACUGACAAGAGAAGGUAAGGCAACUUGCAUACUUUCACUAAAAGAAAAGACGGACAGAAUGGUUGUCACGGGUUUCCAGAAACAUCAGUGACAGAAACUUACAGUGCACGCGAAUUUGCUCCAAUCACUUCAUAUCUGGAAAGCCAUCAACACUCUAUGAUACCACUAAUCCUGAUUGGGCACCCAGCUUGAAGCUUGGACACAACAAGGUAGAUAGUUGCUCAGUCGCUCGAGACUCAGGUAUGCAAGAAGUGUGAAGAGACGAGCAGAAAUGCAAACAUAAUGCUGCAAAAGCUCUCUCACAGCUCGGGUCAGACCACAAGACUCAACCAGUGGAUGAUGAAAGUAAGCUUUCUGAAGCAGUUUGCCAAACUGACCUUGAAGGGAAUGUUUGCAUCACAAAAAGAACUCUGGCGACUUUUGGAAGAAAACAGAACACUGAAAGAGCAGCUUGCCAACACCAACAAGUUUGAUGAGGGAAUCUUCAAAGACAAUGAUGAAAAUGUUAGGCAUGACACAGGACUUCCAAGUUUUGCUGUACUAGUUGCACUUUUUAAUUUUCUCCAAGUGUAUAUUCCACAUACAUUCUUGAACACUUUAACUAAAUAUCAACAACUGGUUCUCACUCUUAUGAAACCUCGGCUAAAUCUUUCCCAUAUGGACCUUGGAAACCGAUUUCAUGUACAUAAGUCGACAUCAUCUACACUGUUUUUAAAUUAUGAUUGAUAACAUGUAUGUGAGGUUAAAGCCACUAAUAUAGUGGCCUGAUCGUCAACAGUUGAUGGAAACCAUGCCCAUGUCAUUUAGAACACACUUUGGUCAAAAAAUAACUGUGAUUAUUGACUGUUUUGAGGUAUCCUUAGAAAGGCCAUCAAAUCUUGCAGCACGAUCAUCAACAUGGUCUUCUUAUAAAUCAAACAAUACAAUCAAAUAUUUGAUAGGUAUAACAUCACAGGGUGUAAUAUGCUACAUACCAGAGGGGUAGGGUGGCAGGGCAAGUGACACAUUUGUCGUUGAACACAGUAGCUUUCUGCACAUAUUGUGUGUUGGUGAUGUGGUCAUGGCAGACAGGGGAUUUGAUGUUUCUGACAGCAUUUGAAUGAUGGGGGCUAAACUUCUUAUCCCUACAAUUAGACGUGACAGACUUCGUCUUACAGGAGAAGAAGUGGAGAAAGCACAGCGUAUUGCCAACUCAAGAAUUCAUGUAGAGCGAGUCAUUGUCAAAAAUAUACUAUUCUUCAUAGCACAAUUCCCAUAGACUGUGUGAAAGCAUGUGACAGUAAAGUCACAAUAUUUGACAAAAUUACAGUUAUACGUUGUGCACUGACCAACAUGUCCAUCUGUCAUUCCAUUUGAUUAGAUGAAGUCUCUUGAUUGUGUUGAAACCAAGUCAUAGGAUUCAAGAUGAUUCUUGUGUCAAAGUUUCUGAGUCGAGUCAAUACUUUCCUAUCAUUUUUUUUUAGUAUCAAUUUUUUUUCUCAAGUCAACACCACUAUAUAAUGGCACUUUCAUAAUUAAUUCAACUUUUAGUAUAAAGAAUACUUAGUUUUUGUUGCUUUCCUGUAAAUUCCAGUCUUAAAAAAUUUUGAUUAUUGCAUUUGUAUGACAAAGGAAAUAAUUGGGGAUUUGGCUUCGUGUAUUUUGCAAGCAACAGGAAAACACUUUGGUUUAGAAUGUACACUGACAGGGAUGGUGAACUUCUGCAUUAAACUAAAGCAUUCAUGUAGAGAGAAAUUGUGUGUAUGUGAGUGUCUUAUUUUGGCAUCUCCUUACAUGUACGGUUUUUACGGCACUCUGGGCAGAACCACUUCCCUUUUGGAAGCUGCUUUAUCUGGAGACAGCUCCGAUGAAACCAUUUAAUCCUGCAUGUGUCAUUGUGACAUGCAACCAUGCUAUCAUUCUCACUUUGUGGUUUGCCGCAGUAACAGUGAUUCAUUGACAUAGCACUCGAGGCUACACGUGAAGUGGAUGGUCUUGCGUAAAAUUUCCCAAGCAGUUCUGGUAGUACCGCCUUUAUGAAAAAACUUGUGACUCUUCUCACAAAUCUCCUCCCACAUCUCUUGAUUUGGUUCGAUUCGCUCUAUGUGCAAGUCAGCAGAAGUCCACACAAUAAAAUCAGCAUACUCUGCUUCACUGGUGGGUGUGUGUUUGUACUUGGUAGUAAUAAUCAUGAUCUUGAAGUAGACAGAUUUUUCCAUCCUCGUCAGAGUGAAAGCAUGUUCUUGGCAGUGAGGUAUAUUCUUCUAUUUGGCUGUCACUAGCACAAUAUGGGUAUUUCACUUCAAUUACACCUUCUCCACAACAUUCGCAGGAAACACGCCGAUCUGGUGAAGCCCCAGUGUAAGGAUACUUCGUGUUGAUGACAAAGCCAGACUGCUUAACCACAAAAUUGUGAUGAGUGAGCUCCAUCUUCUCCUCAUAUGCCCGGCGGGCAUCUUCCUCAUUGGUUCACCCCCAUUUUGUUGCCGUUGUAGAAAAUUUAGUGGUUUCAGGGUAAUAGACAGAUUGAAUGAGAGAUUGAGAGGGUUGAUCUGAAUUUGUUCCGUAAACUCUCCUCAUUUUCGAUGCUGUGAUGCGGCCAGCUCGAAAUUGAUACCACUUUUUUGCUGCUCGACUGCAUACGUGUGGCCUUCUCCACAUUGUUUGCCUGAUCCUUGCUGACAGAAAUGGACAUUUCAGUACAUUUUUUCAACAAGUCUGGGAAUGGCAGUUUGCAAUUUUUUGAGUCGUACAGGCCUGGUAAGACUGUGGGGAAGUUGCUUCCCUCAGGAUGAAAUUGAUGGCUGUAGUUAGGAACAACAGUGAGAAUUGCAGAUGUUGUAUCUGCCUCAUUCAGAUCUUUGUAGAGCAAGUCAAGUUCGUCUUUUGUGGGGCUGGUACCUGAGCUUUUUGUUUGACAUCACCACCAUCAGUUGUGUUGACAGAUCCAUCUACAAGUAUAUCCAACUGCUUCUUAGUUUUGGCCGAAGUAAAGUCUAUUUUACACGCAGGGAGAUAGGCAGCUUCUUUUACUGAUGAUGGUAACUUCCAAUAAGCUGGCUCUUGGGUCACCGUUUUUGACUCUCUGAUGCAGACUUUCGUGUUAGUGUAGAACAUCAAUGCACUGACAUGUGUACACGUCUCCCCAAUGCAGCUAUACAGUCACAGUGUGCUGCCAAUACCUUGCCACUCCUUUCUGCAAUUAUCCAUGGCUUCAGGGGAGUUUCCUAAAGUCGUUGAGAAUGCAUCACCUGUAAAUCGAUGAAUAUGGAUGAAGUCAAUCAGUAAUACAAAUAAUGAAAUAAUGGAAUUCCUAGAAAACACACCCUUCAAUAAUAAGUGCCGGGGAGUCAAUACAACAGUCGUGCUUGGUUACGUUUGUGUGGAACUGAAAUUUAAGCAAAUCUUUUAAUUUAAAAGCAAUAAUAGACCAAAACAACUUAAGGCCUAUUUGGUGUUUCAACUGUGGAAACAUCUCUAUUUUUACUUCAAACAUUCAUGUUCUUUCGAUUGUGUUGUCAUGGUUUGUUGGUUGCUUGCCACUGAAAGCUGUAUCUCCAUGUAUUCCAGCAUAUAAAAGUUCAAAUAAUUAUUGCUAUUGAGAUGUUUACAUGUACAAUACAUGCUGGAGCUGGAUUAAGGAAAUCAUGACUCAUCACUUGAGGUACUGUGUCUAAGUUGGAACAAGAACAAUGGCACUUCAAAGUUGUUAGAAUGCAAAACUCGAACUUGUAGACUGAAGAAAAUUGGGCUCCUUCAUGCACUGUUAAACCACUUAAUUAAUUUCCAAAGUGGCUCAACAGAUCAUGCAGGAUUUUUAAUGCAGCCAACAUCAUGCAAACUCAACUGUCAACACCCAGCAAACCCUGCAAAAAAGCCAAAGCAGAAACAAAACAAAACCAGUUGAAAACAGGCAGGCCUAGGCCUACCACAAAAAUAAAAGGUAGGCCUAACAGUAAAAUAAAAGUUUACAAAACCUUUAACACUAGACCAUGUAGACUAUAGCCUCCUAGAGUCCUAGGCCUCUGCAGCUUACAUGUAGUUUGGCAUGUUAACCCAGUGUCUAGGGCACAUUCAUUGGGGCUGGGCUAUAUAGGUAGUCCAAGUAACUAGGACCCUAAAACUGAUGAUUUUUCAAUCACUUUAAAAACUGACAUUUCCAACUCAGAUUACAAAAUCGUCAGUUUUGAUUUUUCAAUCAGAGGCGGACAUGUCAGUUUAAAAACUGACAGUGACAAGUCCACCUGAGAUUGAAAAAUCUUCAGUUUUAGGGUCUUAGUUACUAUUCCCCUAGUUACCUGUUGGACUAGGGCCGGGCCUAUCAGCAACACCAGCACAAGUAAGCAUAGGGCACGUAGGCUACAUGAAGUAAUAGUAAUGAACAAUGAAACUAUGUGCCCAACUAACGUUACGAUAUUGGCCUAGCGUACUCUUACUCAUGAAGGUCCAAAUAUAUCCUUCCAAAGUUUGUCUUACCUUGGCAGAAACUACAUGACGAUCAUUAAUAACAGUUGCCACAACAUUCCGCACCCAUCUGCUGACAAACUGGUUGUAGCCUUCGAGUCCCUUGUAGCAUUUCAAAUCCUCUAGCAUGUAUGGGCUUGGGGAAUGCACUAGGAAAUUAACGGUGUCUGGAUACGCCAGUGAUGGCAACAAAGUAGCAUCUGCACUCCAUGAUCGCAGGUUAUCCUUGUAGGGAUCUAUGCCAGCAAUAAAGCCAAGCAUUUCAUCAUAUCGGGCCUUGGAAUUCCCAUCGAGAGAACUGUAAUACAAAGCAUUCCAACGUGCAAGCUAAAGCGCAGCCUGCGUGUAAACAAGUACGGUAGUAAUCCAAGAUGGUGGAUCAUGCUGUUUCUAGUAGCAACGUGACGUCACUAAGACGGGUCUAUCGUAGGAUAAAGUUGGAGAUUGAUGUUGGUGCUGUAUUGCACAGACCUCCAUACAUUGCUCAGCAUUCUGGAGGCAUUUCUGGCUUUGCUAAGUGACUCUAAAUGUCACUGCCUGCUCCCUGGUCAUGAUGGCAGUGCUACCUAGAUGGGUAGAUUCCUCAGUGAUGGGUUGGUCUAUAUCACUUAUUUUGAUUGGGAAAAGUGUUGAGACAUUUAAUGGCAUUACCUUUGUCUUCUGAUAACUAAUCCUCAGGCCUGUUUGUGCAAAGCUAGUGAGGCAAGAUGUUUUUUCCUGCAUAUGUUGAUGAAUGUGGGAGAAUGAGUGUCAGGUCAUCAUCGGUGAAGUCAAGAUCUUCCAAUGUGGAUUAGAGAGUCUAUCAGAUGCCUCUUGGUUGGUCUUCAGUUGUUUGUCAUAUUACCCAGUCUGUGACUAUGUUGAAUAGUUGUGCUGACAUUUCACAUCCCUGCCUUACUCCUGUCUUACCUUCAAAGCAGAUGUCGCUAUAUCCUACUCUACAAGUGGGGUUCUCGUAAAAGUCCUUGAUGACAGCGAUAAUCGCCUUUGAAAUUCUGUAUGCUCAAAGCAUGAUCUGUGAGCUGUCACUACCAUUCUGCACAUUGCUCAAUGAUGCUGCAUAUGUAGAAUGAAGCUUUGGUCAACACAUCCUCUUCUUUUUCAUAAGCCCGCUCGUUCUUUCCUAAGUUGCUUGUCUAGUGUAUCCAAGAUUUGCUAUCUGCUAACAUGCCAUACUCUUUCCUGAGGUCAGGCAUUACCACACAAUAGAUUAAAAGUUUCAGUGAACUGAAGGCUCAUUUGAAUACCUAUUAAUCGAUUGUGUGGUAAUGCCUGACCUGAGGAAGAAGUAUACGGCUAGGUUGGCAGGUCUGUAAAGGAUUUUGCAAACAGCUACUAAACGUACAUUUCUUUUGGAUCUUCAUGGUUAUGCCCUUUGACCCGUCAUCAGGUAUCUACUCCUCCCACAUCAAGAACACCUUUAUUACAACUGGAUGAUGUGGUUUCUGGAGCAUACUGUAUCAAGCCAUGCACUAAGAUGCUAAUUUUCAUGUGGUGACAUCAGACAUUAAGGCGUUCUCAUGUCAUGAUUAUUGCCUUAUUUUAAUGGUUGUCACACCCCAUAUAGAGGAGUUAAUUGUUCCCUGCUGUUGUUAAUUGUUCCUUGCUGUUGUUAAUUGUUCCUUGCUGUAAAGGUUCAUGAAUACUCCACAGGAUAAGACCGAACCUUUCUAUGAGGAUGUAUGAGUUCAGAUAAAAUGGAUAUGUCUGUGGUUGGUUCCAUACGUGCCUUUGUCUCUUGUAUCUGCAUACUGAACCCUUGUUGGGUUCAUUGUUACAUGUAAUGUACUUGUGUGGCUGUAUUGUGCAUUGUAUGCUACACCAUAGUUAUUGGAGCUCUGCUGUCUGUGGCUAAAAGACGGAGAGAAUUUGUAGGUAUAAAUAUUAAACAGCUUGAUCAUGCUACACUGUGAAAAAAUAUUGUCCAACGUAAGUGUGAGGUUUGUGUUGAUUUUUAAGUGCCAUUUAUUUUUACUGUUGAAUGUGGAGUUCCAUAUUUGUGUGAUACAUGGUAAGAAUACUUCUCAAAGGACUGUCAUUAACUCAGUUUAUUCCAAUAUAGAGCUUAACAUGUCAUCCACUUUCAAUAACUUGCAAUUUCUAUAUGAUUUCAAUGACUAAAGAUAUAUGAGUAACUGUGUUUGGCCACUGUGGUGGUUGCAACUUGGUGGUGAAAUGAUCUAUAUGUCUUGUGUGAUACGUAAGAGUGACAAAAUUUUCUUUCUAAUCCUAAGGGUUGAAAGUUUGAUUGGUCAAAACAAUGCUCUGUUCUGACAUCUGGUUUCAAGAAUUUUUGUGCCUAGGAUGAGUAGAAAGUCUGGGUUUGGAAUGAUUUUUUUUUUCGAAUGGGAUGUAUAUUGAAGAAAAUGUUCAUGUUAUUUAUUUACUGAUUCGUCGUUUUGAUUGAAUCUGGUUUUACCUUUCUGUUUAAUAAUUGUAUUUUGUAUCAGUCUAUAGAUGAAAAAUGUAUUCACUCAUAUGAAUAAUGCUUUUUAUACAAAAUCCAGUUGUUUCAUUCCAUUGAUGUACAUUCCAUGCUGAAUUCAGACUAUCAUGUAGUUAAAUUGAUGAUACCUGUUCUACAUCGUGUCAUCCCCUGCAAUUUACAAGACGUUUUGGUAUAGUGGAGCCACGGGGGAUCAAAAUUUCAAGUAGAUUUCCAGACUUCUGACAAAAUUACAGAAAUCGUUAAUUAAUGUAAAAGUCAAGGCAGUACCUGAUAUUUUCUUAUAACAGUUACGAGCGUUUCUAACUUUCGGAAUCUGCAUGGGUUAAUUGAUGUGUUAUUUAGAUUGAAUAGAAUAGAAUAUGCUACUGAUGAGCCACCAUUAUACUUGAGUAAAUCCGUCGAAUUCGGGAAAGUAAUCGACAAACAAUACCGUAGUUUUUAGUGCCCCCUCAUUUUAUAUCUUACUUUUACGUAUCCGUAGAAAUAAUUUUCGUCUAUAGUUUGAAGAGUUUUGCCUGCAGUGUAUUUUUCAACAACUCUGUGUUCUUUUUAUGCUUUAUAAACAGUAUUUAAAGUGAAAACAGUUCAUCAUCUUUUAUGAUAUCACAGGGUUUACUUAUAUAUAUAUAUAUAUAUAUAUAUAUAUAUGCUCAUUGUAUUCUUUUCUUUAAAGGUUUCAGUAUGUUGGUGACUAUAAUUUGGCCUAUGCAAAUAUAAUGUUCCAUUUUUUUUAUGAGAA
rnacentral:lncRNA from 1 species